AUGGCGUCGCCGGCGCCGCCCUGCGGCCCCGACGCCUCGCCGGCCAUGGAGUCGCAGGCGAGCCUCCCGGACCACCUGACGGAGGACAUCCUCCUCCGCCUCCCCACGGCCGCCGACCUCGCCCGCGCGUCCAUGGCCGGCCCAUCCCUCCGCCGCAUCGUCACCGACCACUCCUUCCUCCGUCGCUUCCGCGUCCUCCACCCGCCGCCUCUCCUGGGUAUACUCUCGGACCCCUUCAUCCCAGCCCAGCCGCCGCACCCCUCCGCCGCCGCCGCCGGAACCCUCGCCGGCACCGACUUCUCCUGCUCCUUCCUCCCCUCCCGCGAGCGGCCCUGGAUUCGUCGCGACUUCCGCGACGGCCGCGCCCUCUUCUGCGUCGCCCCCGACGGCGACGACCGCGCCCUGGUGAGGGAGGUGGCCGUGUGCGACCCGCUGCACCGGCGCUACCUCCUGCUACCUCCCGUUCCCCAGGACCUUUCCGAUCUAGUCUAUCACUGCCAGCCCUUCCUUGCUCCUGCCGGCGGGGACGAGGUGCCGGCCGACGCUCCCUUGAGAUUCAGAGUCAUGUGCUUGGCCAAAUACCAGACCCAGCUGGUCCUAUUCGUCCUCUCUUCGUCGGGGGGCUGUGCCAGACCAUGGCACGCCAUCCCAUUUGAUGGUUGGAGCGCUCUGGUUGCACAAGUUAGUGAAGGCGAAGAUGUGCGAUCCUCCACUGCGUUCGGAAAUCGCUACUACGCGCACGGAUGCUUCUGCUGGGCGAUACCUGGGAUCGGCAAGUUGCUCAUGCUCGACAUUGCCACGAUGGAGUUCUCCUCCAUCGACCUCCUGCCUAGUCCCUGGAGCAAUUCCCAGAUGGCCUUUGUGGAGGCAAGGGAAGGGAGGCUUGGGUUGUUUGCUCUCAGCCACAAUCGCCUCUUGUAUUCCAUUUCGGGGAGCAUUGAGGAUGACCCCCCAAGGCUGUCGCUAAUGGGGGCUGUAGUCCCAUUGCCCCUUGAUUACGUCUAUUACAUCAUUGGUGUAGCUGGGGGAUUCUUACUCCUACAUGGGUUUCAAGACAACCCGGAAUCAUACCCUUCGUUUGAAAUGCCAGAUCCGGACUGUUUUUCACUGAAUCUCCAGACUAUGAAGCUUGAGCGGUUUUGUGGGACUGAGCUCAUGAUGCCAUUGAAGAACCAACUACUGUAUGCGGGUUUCCCGCCAUCCUUGUCUCCACCAACUAUUUGA
rnacentral:rRNA from 1 species